GAGGUCCGGGAUCCUGGGGGUCCUGCCCACUGCCUGCCAGGGGUUUGGCCCUUCCCCACUGCGGCGCUAGCCUAGAAGAGGGUGGGACGUUCUGGGCUCAGAGGGGGUGGGGGACGUUUGCCGGUCACUGCUGCUGGCCCUGACUGUUGCUGUCCUCCAGCCCCACUCAAAGGCAUCCCGAAGCAGGCGCCCUUCAGAAGCCCCACGGCACCCAGCGUCUUCAGCCCCACGGGGAACCGAACCCCCAUCCCGCCUUCCAGGACACUGCUGCGGAAAGAACGGGGUGUGAAGCUGCUGGACAUCUCUGAGCUGGAUAUGGUUGGCGCUGGCCGAGAGGCGAAGAGGAGAAGGAAGACUCUCGAUGCGGAGGUGGUGGAGAAGCCGGCCAAGGAGGAAACGGUGGUGGAGAACGCCACCCCGGACUACGCAGCCGGCCUGGUGUCCACGCAGAAACUUGGGUCCCUGAACAAUGAGCCUGCGCUGCCCUCCACGAGCUACCUUCCCUCCACGCCCAGCAUGGUUCCCGCCUCCUCCUACAUCCCCAGCUCCGAGACGACCCCAGCCCCAUCUUCCCGGGAAGCCAGCCGCCCACCAGAGGAGCCCAGCGCCCCGAGCCCCACGUUGCCAGCGCAGUUCAAGCAGCGGGCGCCCAUGUACAACAGCGGCCUGAGCCCUGCCACACCCACGCCUGCAGCGCCCACCUCGCCUCUGACACCCACCACACCUCCGACUGUCGCCCCUACCACUCAGACACCCCCGGUUGCCAUGGUGGCCCCGCAGACCCAGGCCCCUGCCCAGCAGCAGCCUAAGAAGAACCUGUCCCUCACGAGAGAGCAGAUGUUCGCUGCCCAGGAGAUGUUCAAGACGGCCAACAAAGUCACGCGGCCCGAGAAGGCCCUCAUCCUGGGCUUCAUGGCCGGCUCCCGAGAGAACCCGUGCCAGGAGCAGGGGGACGUGAUCCAGAUCAAGCUGAGCGAGCACACGGAGGACCUGCCCAAGGCAGACGGCCAGGGCAGCACAACCAUGCUGGUGGACACAGUGUUUGAGAUGAACUAUGCCACGGGCCAGUGGACGCGCUUCAAGAAGUACAAGCCCAUGACCAACGUGUCCUAGGGCCACCUGCCUCACAGCUGCCCUCACUUGGGGGCUCCACGGGACGAUGGCUUUGCCGGCUUAAAGUAACCGGAUGGCGGACACCUGGCCCACGAGGUCCCCCAGCCGCCGCCCUGCUGCUGACCCAGCCUGUUUUAAGUUCUGGAUGCAUUUCUCUGGGGUUUUUGGGGCUUAUUUUUAAAAUUUUAAUAUGGGUUCUUUUUUGUGUGAUUUAAGACACUUUUUGGACUCAGCAUUACAUUUUUGAAUGUAGUAAGUUAACCAAAAAAGUUACAACUUCCUAAUUUUAGUGACAGCUCUGCCUGUUAGACUCUUACUUUUUAAAAUCUUUUCUAUUUUCCCUCGCUGGAGCAGUGCCCUCCUACCCCCAGGAUUGAGGGGACCAAGGUGGCACGGUGGCACUGGGGGUGGGGCAGGGACACCCGACCACACCAGAGCGUGGGAGACAGUGGGCCUUGUCCCCUGCCUGUGCCUGCCUGGGAGUUUUGUAUUCAUCUUUUGUAUAGUUGUGGACAUUUAAGACAGUCUUUGGGUACCUAUUUUCAUUGUAAAACUAUCUGAACCAUUAAAGUCGAGCUUUUCUAAAGAAA
rnacentral:sRNA from 1 species